AGUGUCAAGGGAUGGGAAUCGAACCCAGGACCUUCCGCUUACCGGGCAGAUGCCAUGACCACUAGGCCACAUGACC
rnacentral:tRNA from 1 species